AGAGUUUGAUCCUGGCUCAGGAUGAACGCUGGCGGCGUGCUUAACACAUGCAAGUCGAGCGAAGCACUUUUUUAGAACUCUUCGGAGGGAAGAGAGGGUGACUUAGCGGCGGACGGGUGAGUAACGCGUGGGCAACCUGCCUUACACAGGGGGAUAACAAUUAGAAAUGAUUGCUAAUACCGCAUAAGACCACAGCAUUGCAUGAUGCAGUGGUAAAAACUGAGGUGGUGUAAGAUGGGCCCGCGUCUGAUUAGGUAGUUGGUGGGGUAGAAGCCUACCAAGCCGACGAUCAGUAGCCGACCUGAGAGGGCGACCGGCCACAUUGGGACUGAGACACGGCCCAAACUCCUACGGGAGGCAGCAGUGGGGAAUAUUGCACAAUGGGGGAAACCCUGAUGCAGCGACGCCGCGUGAGUGAGGAAGUAUUUCGGUAUGUAAAGCUCUAUCAGCAGGGAAGAAAAUGACGGUACCUGACUAAGAAGCCCCGGCUAACUACGUGCCAGCAGCCGCGGUAAUACGUAGGGGGCAAGCGUUAUCCGGAUUUACUGGGUGUAAAGGGAGCGUAGACGGAAUUGCAAGUCUGAUGUGAAAAUCCGGGGCCCAACCCCGGAACUGCAUUGGAAACUGUAUUUCCAGAGUGUCGGAGAGGCAAGUGGAAUUCCUGGUGUAGCGGUGAAAUGCGUAGAUAUCAGGAGGAACACCAGUGGCGAAGGCGGCUUGCUGGACGAUGACUGACGUUGAGGCUCGAAAGCGUGGGGAGCAAACAGGAUUAGAUACCCUGGUAGUCCACGCCGUA
rnacentral:rRNA from 1 species